UGAAGGAGCAGGCAGGCAAGUGGGCAGAGCCCAAACCACCUCAACGUGUCAACUGCUGAUAUAGGCGACAAAUUACCAACCCACCAAGCGAGGCUCAUGUUGCAGAGGCCAGUGCUUUUGGAGAAGAAGAGCUCCAGUUCUUGUCUCACCAUCUCUGUGAAAGUCUCAUUGGCCCUGACAUGCAGAACAAUGGCAGCCACAAAGUCUCAGCUGGCUACCGAUUUGCUACUGUCCUGUAUCAACAGCAGGCUCUUGUGCCUGUACAUAGACUCAUAGACUUUAAGCUCCAGCGCCUGGCUGCCCUCCCAUUGCAAGUGACCAGCGUGCACAGACUGCACUCCCCUGCAAUUGCUAGCUGAAUACCGG